rnacentral:rRNA from 1 species
AAUAGAUACCCCGGUAGUCCAUGCCGUAAACGUUGGGCGCUAGAUGUGGGGACCAUUCCACGGUUUCCGUGUCGCAGCUAACGCAUUAAGCGCCCCGCCUGGGGAGUACGGCCGCAGGGCUAAAACUCAAAGGAAUCGACGGGGGCCCGCACAAGCGGCGGAGCAUGCGGAUUAAUUCGAUGCAACGCGAAGAACCUUACCAAGGCUUGACAUAUACGAGAACGCUCUAGAAAUAGAGAACUCUUUGGACACUCGUAUACAGGUGGUGCAUGGUUGUCGUCAGCUCGUGUCGUGAGAUGUUGGGUUAAGUCCCGCAACGAGCGCAACCCUCGUUCUAUGUUGCCAGCGGCUCGGCCGGGAACUCAUAGGAGACUGCCGGGGUCAACUCGGAGGAAGGUGGGGAUGACGUCAAAUCAUCAUGCCCCUUAUGUCUUGGGCUUCACGCAUGCUACAAUGGCCGGUACAAAGGGCUGCAAUACCGUAAGGUGGAGCGAAUCCCAAAAAGCCGGUCUCAGUUCGGAUUGAGGUCUGCAACUCG